rnacentral:rRNA from 1 species
GGAUUUCNUCCUGGCACAGGACGAACGCUGGCGGCGUGCCUAAUACAUGCAAGUCGAGCGGAUCUUGUCCUUCGGGGCAAGGUUAGCGGCGGACGGGUGAGUAACACGUAGGCAACCUGCCUGUAAGACUGGGAUAACUCACGGAAACGUGAGCUAAUACCGGAUAAUCGAUUCCCUCGCCUGUGGGAAUCGUGAAAGAUGCUUCGGCAUCACUUGCGGAUGGGCCUGCGGCGCAUUAGCUAGUUGGCGGGGUAAUGGCCCACCAAGGCGACGAUGCGUAGCCGACCUGAGAGGGUGAUCGGCCACACUGGGACUGAGACACGGCCCAGACUCCUACGGGGAGGCAGCAGUAGGGAAUCUUCGGCAAUGGACGAAAGUCUGACCGAGCAACGCCGCGUGAGUGAGGAAGGCCCUCGGGUCGUAAAGCUCUGUUGCCAGGGAAGAAUGGCGGGGAGAGGAAAUGCUCUCCGUUUGACGGUACCUGAGAAGAAAGCCCCGGCUAACUACGUGCCAGCAGCCGCGGUAAUACGUAGGGGGCAAGCGUUGUCCGGGAAUUAUUGGGCGUAAAGCGCGCGCAGGCGGUUUCUUAAGUCUUGUGUUUAAUCCCGAGGCUCACCUCGGUUCGCAUGGGAAACUGGGAAACUGGGAGUGCAGGAGAGGAAAGUGGAAUUCCACGGUGUAGCGGUGAANUGCGUAGAUU